ensembl:misc_RNA Metazoa_SRP Metazoan signal recognition particle RNA
GCCGGGCGUGGUGGUGCACGCCUGUAAUCCCAGCUACUCGGGAGGUUGAGGCAGGAGAAUCGUUUGAACCCGGGAGGCGUAGGGUGCAGUGAGCUGAGAUCGCACCACUGCACUCUGGCCUGGACGACAGAGCAAGACUCUGCCUCAA